GGUCCGUUGGUCAAGGGGUUAAGACACCGCCUUUUCACGGCGGUAACACGGGUUCGAAUCCCGUAUGGUAUG
rnacentral:tRNA from 1 species